rnacentral:rRNA from 1 species
UACGAAGGGGGCGAGCGUUGUUCGGAUUUACUGGGCGUAAAGGGCGCGUAGGCGGCCCUCCUAGUCGCGUGUGAAAGCCCCGGGCUCAACCUGGGAAUUGCGCGCGAAACGGGGGGGCUUGAGUUCGGGAGAGGAGAGUGGAAUUCCUGGUGUAGCGGUGAAAUGCGCAGAUAUCAGGAAGAACACCAAUGGCGAAGGCAGCUCUCUGGGACGGUACUGACGCUGAGACGCGAAAGCGUGGGGAGCGAACAGG